UACGUAGGGGGCAGGCGUUGUCCAGAAUUAUUGGGCGUAAAGCGCGCGCAGGCGGUUUCUUAAGUCUGAUGUGAAAGCCCACGGCUCAACCGUGGAGGGUCAUUGGAUACUGGGGAACUUGAGGACAGAAGAGGAGAGUGGAAUUCCACGUGUAGCGGUGAAAUGCGUAGAUAUGUGGAGGAACACCAGUUGCGAAGGCGACUAUCUGGUCUGUUUCUGACGCUGAGGUGCGAAAGCGUGGGUAGCAAACAGG
rnacentral:rRNA from 1 species